rnacentral:rRNA from 1 species
CCCCACUGCUAUCGAGGUGAGACUUAGCCAGGCCAGUCGAACGACUCGGACUAUGGCGAGAAGUGGCAAACUGCUCAGUAACACGUAGCUAACCUAACCUCAGGACGGAGACAACCCCGGGAAACUGGGGUUAAUCCCCGAUAGGCGUGAAUUCCUGGAAUGGUGUCACGCCGAAACGUUAACACACCAUGUUUGUGUACACGCCUGAGGAUGGGGCUGCGGCCGAUCAGGCAGUUGGUGAGGUAACGGCUCACCAAACCUUUGACCGGUACGGGCCGUGAGAGCGGUAGCCCGGAGAUGGACACUGAGACAAGGGUCCAGGACCUACGGGUCGCAGCCGGUACGAAACCUCCACAAUGCACGCAAGUGCGAUGGGGUUACCUCGAGUGCCGCCUGAAGAAGGCGGCUUUUCCAUUGUGUAAUGAGCCGUGGGAAUAAGGGGGGGGCAAGACUGGUGUCAGCCGCCGCGGUAACACCAGCCCCCCGAGUGGUGGGGAUGUUUAUUUGGCCUAAAACGUCCGUAGCCAGCUAGGUAAAUCUCUCGUUAAAUCCAGCGUCCUAAGCGUUGGGCUGCGAGAGAGACUGCCAAGCUAGAGGGUGGGAGAGGUCAGCGGUAUUUCUGGGGUAGGGGCGAAAUCCAUUGAUCCCAGGAGGACCACCAGUGGCGAAGGCUGCUGACUAGAACACGCCUGACGGUGAGGGACGAAAGCUGGGGUAGCGAAUCGGAUUAGAUACCCGAGUAGUCCCAGCCGUAAACGAUGCAGGCUAGGUGUUGGGUUGGCCCAUGUGCCGACUCAGUGCCACAGGGAAGCCAUUAAGCCUGCUGCCUGGGGAGUACGGUCGCAAGGCUGAAACUUAA